UCUUCUUCAACUUCCACGCUUUCCCUAAACCCUUCCAAUAAAUACACUGAUCCCGAUCUCACGGGGCACUUCAUCAAGGACAACUGGACAAGGGAGCCCUCCUUGGACGAACAUCACCUCACGCACGUGCUUGCACAAACAAACAAUUGAUUUCAGCGGCCGGUUGAACCUGACCUUGGGCGCCACCUGCGUCGACUGAUCUGUUCGACGACCGGCCGGAGUUUUGCUUCGUUGAGUUGCCGAGCGAUAGCAUGGUGCCUGCACCUGCGCGUACGGCGUACAGGCGAUGGACAACUCAGAAAGGACGAGGGGUAGGUGUUGUUCAUGUGGGAGAGGGCCAACCAUCGGUGCAAUCUUGAGCACGAUCUCUAUGCUUUCAUGACGUUCAGAGCCAUACCUGACAUGAAGUUGUUCGGUCUCACCCCGUACAACCUCGGGUAGCACCAGCAGGACCUAAGCGAGAUCUGGCCAGUGGCGUUCUGUGUAGUUGCCAGGCGAGAGGGUUGGCUACCUCCCAAAGAGGCUACAUGUGAAGUCCUUGAACAAUGAGGAUGCUGCCUUGCGUGGCCGAUCUGAAUCAGGGGACAUGCGGGGCUCCAUGGCAUCAUUGCUGGAAACAAUAGCAGCAGCAGUACUCGCUUUAGUUCUCCAAAGACAAGGCAAUUAGGUCAUCUGAAGAAUCCUCGAUCUAAUUAUUCAAUUUAUGAAUCAACUAUGCCUCCGUUCAUGAAUCAUGACUCAAGAUAAGACUGAUUUUGUUACGCCGGCCAGCUGUGGAUUACUGUCAUGUACGCGUAUUUGAUCGUAGGAUCACUGUACAACAGGCUUUGGAGCAGGUUCUGAUUCAUGCAGAGAUCCCCAGCAACCUCCUAUUUUCAGGAUAUUAGAUGGAUACAGAAUCCAGUAACCCUUCAAUAGAUAAAGGAAGUCCCAUUUUCUGUUGAUAAUUUGCACGACAGGGUUCUAGCUAAUUUAUGAUCGUGCCGACAAUCGGCCACCAAUGCCUGAAGAUUUGAGGUGUGACUCAAAUUUCGUGUUGUUAGAAAUCAACAAUGGAGAUUUCAGUUU